rnacentral:rRNA from 1 species
ACGCUGGCGGCGUGCUUAACACAUGCAAGUCGAACGAUGAAGCCUAGCUUGCUAGGUGGAUUAGUGGCGAACGGGUGAGUAAUACGUGAGUAACCUACCUUUAACUCUGGGAUAAGCCCGGGAAACUGGGUCUAAUACCGGAUACGACCAAUCUCCGCAUGGGGUGUUGGUGGAAAGCGUUAUGUAGUGGUUAUAGAUGGGCUCACGGCCUAUCAGCUUGUUGGUGAGGUAACGGCUCACCAAGGCGACGACGGGUAGCCGGCCUGAGAGGGUGACCGGCCACACUGGGACUGAGACACGGCCCAGACUCCUACGGGAGGCAGCAGUGGGGAAUAUUGCACAAUGGGCGCAAGCCUGAUGCAGCGACGCCGCGUGAGGGAUGACGGCCGUCGGGUUGUAAACCUCUGUUAGCAGGGAAGAAGAGAGAUUGACGGUACCUGCAGAGAAAGCGCCGGCUAACUACGUGCCAGCAGCCGCGGUAAUACGUAGGGCGCGAGCGUUGUCCGGAAUUAUUGGGCGUAAAGAGCUUGUAGGCGGUUUGUCGCGUCUGCUGUGAAAGGCCGGGGCUUAACUCCGUGUAUUGCAGUGGGUACGGGCAGACUAGAGUGCAGUAGGGGAGACUGGAAUUCCUGGUGUAGCGGUGGAAUGCGCAGAUAUCAGGAGGAACACCGAUGGCGAAGGCAGGUCUCUGGGCUGUAACUGACGCUGAGAAGCGAAAGCAUGGGGAGCGAACAGGAUUAGAUACCCUGGUAGUCCAUGCCGUAAACGUUGGGCACUAGGUGUGGGGGACAUUCCACGUUUUCCGCGCCGUAGCUAACGCAUUAAGUGCCCCGCCUGGGGAGUACGGCCGCAAGGCUAAAACUCAAAGAAAUUGACGGGGGCCCGCACAAGCGGCGGAGCAUGCGGAUUAAUUCGAUGCAACGCGAA